GAUUUGAGGCUGCAUCCAAGGAGACAACAUCUGUGUACAUUUCCCAGGAGGAGGAACAAACCGAGUCGGACCCUCAUAUGCUUUCUGUAGAGGAGAACAUCACUCUCACACACAGAACCUGAUGAGUUAUAAUAGGAGAGGAAGAUAUCCACUGCAUGGUGUUGGAGAUUCACCGGCAUAAGCAUGAGAUCAUCCACAGCAUCCUUCACGCCAUCUAUAUCAAUGAGAGCAGCCCCAAGCAGUUUCCAGGCUAUGUCAUUUGUCGCACGUAUCUCUGCAUAUUUGAUUGAUAAAAUUAAUCCGGAGCUGCAUAUUCAGGUAACAUAAUGAGAUGACUAGAGUUGCGCUGAUAGCGAACUCGACGGACGAUCUCAUGAGGUAUGAUACAAUAUUUAGGCGAUUAGAUUCCUUAUAGCGUAUAGUGGCAUCAUACGGAUCAUAAGCUCGAUUGGUGAUAAUUCCGGCGCUAGAUAGAGCAGCCCUUAGAGUGGAGAUAUUGGAGGGAGCAACACCCGUUCUCGUAACCGGGAUAGAGAUACUGCCGACGACGAUGAUAGAUGAGGUGUUUUUAUUUUUAAUGCAAUAAAUAGUUUUAUUUGUUAUAACACUACAUUUAUUCAUGUCGUGUAUCCGAUCUUAGUUAUGUACAUUAUUAGUAUAUAUGUUGU